rnacentral:rRNA from 1 species
CGGACGGGUGAGUAUCGCGUGGGGAUUUAUCGUUGGGUGGGGGAUAACCUUGGGAAACUGGGGCUAAUACCGCAUGACGCCUUUGGGCCAAAGCAGCGAUGCGCCUGAUGAGGAGCCUGCGUCCGAUUAGGUAGUUGGUUGGGUUACGGCUGACCAAGCCUGCGAUCGGUAGCUGGUCUGAGAGGAUGAUCAGCCACACUGGGACUGAGACACGGCCCAG